GCCCUCCCCACUCACACCUUCGGGAUAAAUGACCGGAGGUCGGUCGGGGAGGGCACA
rnacentral:snoRNA from 1 species